rnacentral:rRNA from 1 species
UACGUAGGGGGCAAGCGUUGUCUGGAUUUAUUGGGCGUAAAGAGCGUGUAGGCGGCCAGGUAGGUCAGCUGUGAAAACUCGAGGCUCAACCUCGAGACGUCGGUUGAAACCACCUGGCUAGAGUCCGGAAGAGGAGAGUGGAAUUCCUGGUGUAGCGGUGAAAUGCGCAGAUAUCAGGAGGAACACCAAUGGCGAAGGCAGAUCUCUGGGCCGUAACUGACGCUGAGGAGCGAAAGCAUGGGGAGCGAACAGG